UUCUCUACCAUCUUAGUUCUAACUGGUUGGAACUGGUUCUGCCUCAGUCUUGUUUGAUCUGGUUACUCUGAAACUUUGUUUUGAGACUUCCUGACACAGUUAAUCAUUUCCUGCACAAUUAAGCAAUGCCCAGAGCAGUGCCUACCAGUUCCAUUUUCACUACUAAAAACACAGCUCCACUUUGACUGCCUGGCCCUAGGAAAGUCUCCCUCUGCUGAGCACUUCACCCAUGGAAACUAUGCAAUGAUGGUGUAAGACAGAAGGCAGAAGGCUCUGUCAGACAGCAACUCAGCUUUAACAAAGGGGACUAUUCCCAAGGCAGAACCUCUCUGUCCCCAGGAGACCAUCUGGAGAUUACCCAGAAUUCACCUGGUCUGGUGUGGGCUCUUCAUGAUGUUCCCAAAUCUCCCAAAGGCCGGAUUCCAGAGAGUCUCCUGUGGCCACGGUGGUGACUUUCGAUGUAGGAGGAGUCAGCGGCCAUUGCAAUCACAGUGCUCUGUAUGCGGCCGUGAGCUUCCUCCUGGUGACCACCUUGCUGUGGGAUAGCUAGAUACAGCCUACUUGACUGAUCCUGCAGACCUCCACACCCUGGACUGACUGUGUAGACAUGUGAUGACUUCUCAUUUACAGUGUGACCUCCUGUGACUUAAGCCUGCUUGCUUUAAACCUACCAAUUAAAACUCCCCACUGGAAAUCUGUGUCAAUAAUACCCUGGACUCAGUAUGGUCACUUGUUCCCUCUCUCUCCAUGCACUGCCUGACAAUCUGUAUGUGGCCUCUGGACAUGCAGUCUAUCUCCCAGCACCUGUAAGGAAUAAAAGCUUCCUUUUGUAAUGAU